AAUUUUUGACCUAAGGUCCACAUUCAUACGCCUUUUGACCCCGAUCAGUCCCUGACUUUUCAAUAAAAAGGUAUUUUAAAAUACCUCAUUUUUUGUUACGAGUCGGGCCCUCUUCACUCUAUCUUUAUUUUUAAUUUCCAUCUUUUAUUUAAUUUUUAAAUCAACUUUAAUUUUGGUUUUAAUUUUUUAUUUUUAUUUUUAUUAUUAGUUAUUAUUUUUAUUGUCAUUGUUAGUCUUUAUCUUGUUUUAUUUCAUUUUAUUAUUUUUGUCCAAUGAUAAGUCCAACAAAAUGGUCCAAAUUCAGAAAACAGUCUGUCACGUUCAUCCAUUCCAGUUCACAGCCUCAUCUGCAGCAAUCCAGUAACAUUCAAUCCGCGUUUUGCUUUCAUCUCAAUCCAAAAGCACAGUUUUUGUGCUUUUCCUCAACAAACCCUAACAUCAGCCCAGCACUAUAAAUACAUAACCUGCAGAACACAGGAAGGACACGGCAGAACGCACAUAAGCCACACGGCAGAACGCACAUAAGCCACACAGCAGAAUCGCACAACACCAGAAAAGGAGAGGAGAAGCCAGAAAUCGCACAUCACCAAGAGGAGCAGAGAAC
rnacentral:lncRNA from 1 species